CUACGGGUCGCUGCAGUGGGGAAUAUUGGACAAUGGGGGAAACCCUGAUCCAGCAAUGCCGCGUGUGUGAAGAAGGCCUGCGGGUUGUAAAGCACUUUCGGUUGGGAGGACUGCUUCUAGCACUAAUAUUGUUGGAAGUUGACGUUACCUUCAGAAGAAGCACCGGCUAACUCCGUGCCAGCAGCCGCGGUAAUACGGAGGGUGCAAGCGUUAAUCGGAAUUACUGGGCGUAAAGCGCGCGUAGGCGGCUAGAUCAGUCGGGUGUGAAAGCCCCGGGCUUAACCUGGGAACUGCAUCCGAUACUGUCUAGCUUGAGUACAGGAGAGGAGAGUGGAAUUCCACAUGUAGCGGUGAAAUGCGUAGAUAUGUGGAGGAACACCAAUGGCGAAGGCAGCUCUCUGACCUGAUACUGACGCUGAGGUGCGAAAGCGUGGGGAUCAAACAGGAUUAGAUACCCGUGUAGUC
rnacentral:rRNA from 1 species